UUUUCAUAUCCCAAGCGAGAAAGAUGCAGUGCUGUAAUGUGGCAGUGCAAACAAGGCCUACGUCUCAUUUAUCAAUGUAUGUAGGAUUUACGUUGGUGAUAUGCUUGAAUUAGUAAAGGGGAAACUGAAACUGAAAUCUUAAUUUCUUUAAAACACAGAAAUUCUGAGAAAAUAAGUCAUUCUGCUGCUGAAGCUGAACAAAAAUGCCACUUAAAGGUAUGGAAAAACGUUGCAUUGAAAAGUUCUGACUAGGGAAGCAGACGGUGGCCUGCGUACUUUGGAGGGGAUGGAUUUUUCCAGAGAAACCGGCUCCCAUUGAGGCACCUAAAUGAAAGGUCCACAUUUUCAAAAACGCCCAGCCAGUCAACGAGGAGUUGUGCACUAGCCCAUUGGACAAUCCAACCAAUCUCAUCACCUCAUUAUAUACAGGUUCUGAUGCACUGAAAGACCAUGGGCGGAACCCCGAGGACGGAGACCUGAUUGAGAUUGACCGAGGGUUUUACAAGCACUGGUGUGUCUAUGUCGGAGAAGGUGACGUUGUCCAUAUAACAGGUCUGACUGAAAUGCCUGACUCGGGCUUUGUUAGCUCUAGCAACGGCCAGGCGAAAGUGAAGAGAGAGCCCCUCGAACAUGUUGUAGGGGACUGCAACUAUUGGGUCAACAACAAGUAUGACGAGAGCCGGCCCGUUUAUUCGGUGGACAAAAUCCUCGAGCGGGCAAAUGACGAGGUUGGGAAGAUACGGAGAUAUCACGCCUUCGCUAAGAACUGUGAACACUUUGCUACUGAGAUUCGCUACAACGAAGCAAUAAGUGACCAAGCUAAUACAGCUGUUGCAGUGAUAAUGGUGAUAGGUUUUCUGAUUUUGUUCAUUUGACAGCGGCAGCAUCGUUAAACUUCUUCAGCCCAGAAACACUCCACCCUGUACAAAAGAUACAGAUCAGGACCAUGCUGUGGCGACCAAAAUAAAUUUUAGACCUCAGAAAUACCUCAUUAACCAGAGUCUUGUCUCUUCUGUUACCGGUCAGUGGCCCAGAGUAGAUAAUUGUUGGAGUAUUAUCUGAGUAUCACCGUGCACCAAACUCAGGAGAACUGCUGCAGAUGGAAGGAGUGAGGUUCAUACCCACUCAGC